rnacentral:rRNA from 1 species
UACGUAGGGGGCAAGCGUUGUCCGGAAUCAUUGGGCGUAAAGAGCGUGUAGGCGGCCCGGUAAGUCCGCUGUGAAAGUCCAGGGCUCAACCCUGGAAUGCCGGUGGAAACUGUCGGGCUAGAGUCCGGAAGAGGCGAGUGGAAUUCCUGGUGUAGCGGUGAAAUGCGCAGAUAUCAGGAGGAACACCGGUGGCGAAGGCGGAUCUCUGGGCCUGUUCUGACGCUGAGGCGCGAAAGCUAGGGGAGCGAACAGG